UUCACUGCAAGUUUCCAGGAUCAGGUUUCCUUGGAACAGGCUCGCACAUGGCCUCUGUCUUCUAAAGCUGAUUGCUUUGCCAUGAGGGACAAAGAGAAGAAAGUACUUCUUAUCAUCAUUGUCUCUGUACCAAAACCCCAGCUCGGAUGGAUGAAUGAGGACUCAGGAGCCCACAGACUCAGAGCAAUUAGAAACUAUUACGUCCUGCACAUGGCUGGGUGAGCAGUGGGAGAAUAUUUACAAUCUCAGAAUGACGUUUCACCACGUAAGCCCUUAGCCCUAAUCUGCAUCUGAUACUGUACAUCAAGAUAACAUAAGGCUCCAUCUUCUCCAGAUCCUAGAUAUUUUACUCCUCCUAAUCUGGUGUAGUCAGUGGUAAGUGAAGAAAGAGCUUGCAAACAUUCGUUAUCAUUUCUAGUGUGCUGUCUUUGCAGAAACCUUAAGUCAAG
rnacentral:lncRNA from 1 species